rnacentral:SRP_RNA from 1 species
CGCUGGGUCCUGUGCGGCAGGAUACUGUGAACCCCGCCAGGGUCGGAAGACAGCAACGGUAAGCAGCCCAUCCUGGGUGACAUGGGGUAGCCUGGUGGCC